CUUAAUUUUGGUUGUAUUCUUUGAUUUUAACACAUUUGGUAUGAUUGUGUUUUAUAGAUGUAUUGAAGCAUGUAGAUUCAAAUAUUGGAUGCGAUUUAAUAUUUUUAAUCUAUUUAAACCCAUCUUAGUCAUUUUGUUCCAACAGAAUACUUCCAGAUUCUGAUGCUUAGUGUAAUUUCUUUGCCUGUUCAGUUACAGAAAGUGGUGCUCACUUGUACAAUGUAUUGUACCUUUUAACACCUGAUUUAUACAUCCUAUGUAACAGAAGAGGCAAAAAUAAAAUAUCAAUCCUGAAAAAGAGAAUAUGGCAGGAAAAAAUAAUGGAAA
rnacentral:lncRNA from 1 species